CAAAUCCUACGGGGGGCAGCAGUGAGGAAUAUUGGUCAAUGGGCGGGAGCCUGAACCAGCCAAGUCGCGUGAGGGAAGACGGUGCUAUGGAUUGUAAACCUCUUUAGGCGGGGAGCAAUGCCGGGCACGCGUGCCCGGAGGGAGAGUACCCGCAGAAUAAGCAUCGGCUAACUCCGUGCCAGCAGCCGCGGUAAUACGGAGGAUGCGAGCGUUAUCCGGAUUUAUUGGGUUUAAAGGGUGCGUAGGCGGAUUUUUAAGUCAGCGGGAAAAUGUCCGGGGUCAACCCGGGCGGGCCG
rnacentral:rRNA from 1 species